AUGCUUGCUUCAGCAGCACAUGUACUAAAAUUGGAAUGAUGCAGAGAUUAGCAUGGCACCCUGAGUAAGGAUGACAGACAAAUUCAUGAAGCGUUCCCUAUUUAA
ensembl:snRNA U6 U6 spliceosomal RNA